GACGAACGCUGGCGGCGUGCUUAACACAUGCAAGUCGAACGGAAAGGCCCUGCUUUUGUGGGGUGCUCGAGUGGCGAACGGGUGAGUAACACGUGAGUAACCUGCCCUUGACUUUGGGAUAACUUCAGGAAACUGGGGCUAAUACCGGAUAGGAGCUCCUGCUGCAUGGUGGGGGUUGGAAAGUUUCGGCGGUUGGGGAUGGACUCGCGGCUUAUCAGCUUGUUGGUGGGGUAGUGGCCUACCAAGGCUUUGACGGGUAGCUGGCCUGAGAGGGUGACCGGCCACAUUGGGACUGAGAUACGGCCCAGACUCCUACGGGAGGCAGCAGUGGGGAAUAUUGCACAAUGGGCGGAAGCCUGAUGCAGCAACGCCGCGUGCGGGAUGACGGCCUUCGGGUUGUAAACCGCUUUCGCCUGUGACGAAGCGUGAGUGACGGUAAUGGGUAAAGAAGCACCGGCUAACUACGUG
rnacentral:rRNA from 1 species